GGCCUGAGUGGGCGGGUCGCCUGGCGGGAGGGUCUACCUGCAUGGCCCACCAGCGUCUUCUCCCACGUUUCCUGUCCCUCCCUGGCCA